CAUCAUCAGCGUCAUCCUCCAUUUGCCUGAGCUGAGCCAGAGAGGAUACGCUGGGAGAUUACCUCCAAUGUUGGAUUUACUGCUUCAAAUUGAAAACUGAGGCGAUCUUUUGAGAGAUGGAAAGUCUAUGGCUCCCUGCUUUUGAGGGAAUGAGCACAGAGGAGGAAGAUCUGCUGGACCAGGAACUACUGCAGGAAGACUCGGACCAUGAGGAGAUGGAGGAUGAGAUGGAACCUGAUCCCCAGCCAAGACCAUCAACUGGGUAUAUAUGAAUGUGUUACAAGAGUCUGCCAGAUUUAGCACCCGUCCUGCCUGAUUUCCUACUCCCUCUGCUACGUGUCACCGAGUGAUGACGGCUAUCUGCAGCCUGUGCCAGCCAGACUUCACUUCAGUCUACUACGAUGGACUCCACAGAUGAUGAACUGAUGCCAACUUCAAGACAUGUGUUACAACCAGUCUCUAAGGCUGAAACAAUUAGGGAGACCAAACACGCAAAAACUGUGAGAAAAAAAAACAAACAUUUAUUUUAAUAUAAGUACAAACACCAAAGCAGUAACUGGGCGCUAAGACAAAGCUCUCAGGUAGGUUCCAUAACACUGCUGCAUCCCUAUGAGGAUGCUGUCACCAAAGAACUAUGCACUGCCUCGUGAAUACUUCUGAGGAUAUUUAAUGCUCCCACUCACAAGCGUCAGGUGUGUCAGCCAAGCCCCUCAGAGACUGAGCCACCUGCAACAACCACUUACAAACACAAGACUGGGGCGUCACACAUGGGAUACUUCACUGGCCACUGUUUGAACCAUGGGCUCAUGAUGGAUUUCACCAAAACUACCUGCCAUAAGCUUCCAGCCGGACUGCGAUGCCCCUCACUGACUGUUUCCUGUAUCAUCUUGGUCUAAGGAGGGACUAUACUCUCUUAAAAUGGAACAAAUAAACAAUAAAUGAUUUGCCAUCUAAAGCCUUCGU